ACGCAAGUAACAUGAAAAAAGCCAUGGACGAGAUGGGUGUGUCGAGUUUGGGGUGCUUCGCACACUCUCUUCAACUGGUGUUACACAAAGUCCUAUUAUCACAGAGAAGUGUGAGUGAUGCGCUGGCGAACUGUAAGAAGAUAGUCGGUCAGUUCAGACACUCGCCAUUGGCCACAACGCGCCUGGAAGAUAUUCAGAGGGAUCUAAAAAUCCCCACCAAACGUUUGCACCAAGACGUGGCGACGAGGUGGAAUAGUACUUUUUAUAUGGUAUAGAGUUUACUUGAGCAGAAGCAGCCGAUUUCAGCGUACGGAGCAGAUCACGACCUGCCAGCCACACUAACAGCCAACCAGUGGGCUUUGCUGGAAAAAACUGUCACUGUUUUGGCACCAUUUGAGCAACUGACCAGACAGAUUUGCUCCUCCACCUCGUCUGUAGUGGAAGUCAUCCCCUCAGUUACAGUUCUAAAACGGCUACUUGCUCGGGAGAGCCAGGAGGAUACCGGUAUAAAAACAAUGAAAACUACCCUUCUUGAGGCCGUCAAGAUACAAUUCUCAACCAUCGUGGAAGAGCCCUUGUAUGCAGUUGCAACUCUCUUGGAUCCACGUUUGAAAGACAGAUACUUCUCAAGUGCAGACAACAUCAAGCAUGCAAAGGAUGCUCUGACAGUAGAGAUGGAAAAGAUUGAGAAGUCACUGACAAUGACCACCACAACUGUGGAGAGAGAGUAGAUUGAAGGGCCUGUUUGAGGAAAUCCUGCAGGAGCAUGAUGAGGAACAUGGCGCAUGUACUACAAGCACACAUGUUCAACUUCAGACAUAUGUGAUGGAGCAAACUAUCUCACACUCAGACAGCCCAUUCCAGUACUGGGCAGUCAACCAAGUUCGAUUUCCUUGUUUAUCAUAUAGAUUUAAAAAGGGUAAUCUUGUACUAAAGAGAUAUAAAAAUACAAAGAGAAAAAAAUGUUGAAACUUUGUCAUCAACAAAAUGAAGUGCAUUAUAAGCAAUAGGCUGUUUUAGACAGGGCAAUUUAAAAGAUAAAAAAAAAAAAAAAAAAAAGAA